CACAAGGCAUUAUUAAAAGCCAAUGAAUAGUUAAAUAAACAUAUUUU
rfam:Tyto alba contig46499, whole genome shotgun sequence.